AGCCUUCUGUAUCCGUGUUGAAAUUCGGUCACACACAAGACCACAAACCCUGACGGUACUCCCAGGAUAAGUGAAACA
rnacentral:pre_miRNA from 1 species